ACCAAGUUUGAAGCUGAAGAAGAAAAUAACUAAAACAAAAGAAGCUAAAAAAGUUUUGAAGAGAAAAUUUAAAGUAAAUACAAAAAUCGUAUUUGCGGAUGAUGGAGAGUUAAUUCAGCAGUGGCCACCAGCCCAAAAAUCUAUCCUGGACAAAGAGGAAGAUGGCGAUGAUUGUAAUGGGAUCGAUCUAGACAAAGCAAAAGAAAGACUUAAGGAAGAGGAUAAAUUUGACAAAGAGGAAUACAGGAAGAAAAUUAAAGAAAAACACAGGGAGAAAAGGCUUAAAGAAAAGGCAGCUAGAAGGGAAACCAGGAAGAUAAAUACAAAGACUGAAGAGGACACUGUAGCCUUUCUGGAUCACAGUGACAGUGGUGAGGAAUUUGAUCCAAGUACGCUUCCAGACCCAGAUGGAUACGGAGAUGAUGAACAAGAGAUUCUUCCAAAAAG